GUCAGGAUGGCCGAGCGGUCUAAGUUAGCCAGACUCAAGCGGAAUCUUGCUCUGAUGCAGAGUGCUGAGUGUUCUGGUCCGCGUAUGUGGGAGUGGGUUCGAAUCCCACUUCUGUCA